rnacentral:rRNA from 1 species
CACCUGCCCUUGCACGCUGGGAUAAGCCUGGGAAACUGGGUCUAAUACUGGAUAUGACUGAUCAUCGCAUGGUGGUUGGUGGAAAGAUUUUAUCGGUUGUGGAUGGACUCGCGGCCUAUCAGCUAGACGGUGGGGUAAUGGCUCACUGUGGCUUAUGACGGGUAGCCGGCCUGAGAGGGUGACCGGCCAACAGCUGGGACUGAGACACGGCCCAGACUCCUACGGGAGGCAGACAUGUGGGGAAUAUUGCACAAUGGGCACAAGCCUGAUGCAGCGACGCCGUCGUGCGGGAUGACGGCCUUCGGGUUGUAAACCGCUUUCAGAUAGGGAACAGGCCUUUCGGGGUUGAGGGUACCUGCAGAAGAAGCGCCGGCUAACUACGUGCCAGCACGCCGCGGUAAUACGUAGGGCGCGAGCGUUAUCCGGAAUUAUUGGGCGUAAAGAGCUCGUACGCGGUUUGUUGCGUCUGACUGUGAAAGCCCGGGGCUUAACUCCGGGUGUGCAGUGGGUACGGGCAGGCUGGAGUGCAGUAAGGGAGACUGGAAUUCCUGGUGUAGCGGUGAAAUGCUCAAAUAUCAGGAGGAACACCGAUGGCAAAGGCAGGUCUCUGGGCUGUUACUGACCCUGAGGAGCGAAAGCAUGGGGAGCGAACAGGAUUAAAUACCCUGGUAGUCCAUGCCGUAAACGAUGGGGCACUAGGUGUGGGGACAUUCCACGUUUUUCCGCGCCGUACGCUACACGCAUUAAGUGCCCCGCCCUGGGGAGUACGGCCGCAAGGCUAAAACUCAAAGGAAUUGACGGGGGCCCGCACAAGCGGCGGAGCAUGCGGAUUAAUUCGAUGCCACGCGAAGAACCUUACCAAGGCUUGACAUACACUGGAUCGCCUCAGAGAUGGGGUUUCCCUUCGGGGCUGGAUGUACAGGUGGUGCAUGGUUGUCGUCAGCUCGUGUCGUGAGAUGUUGGGUUAAGUCCCGCAACGAGCGCAACCCUUAUCCUAUGUUGCCAGCACGUGAUGGUGGGGACUCAUGGGAGACUGCCGGGGUCAACUCGGAGGAAGGUGGGGAUGACGUCAAAUCAUCAUGCCCUUAUGUCUGGGCUCACGCAUGCUACAAUGGCCGGUACAGUGGGUUGCGAUACUGUGAGGUGGAGCUAAUCCCUAAAAGCCGGUCUCAGUUCGGAUCGAAGUCUGCAACUCGACUUCGUGAAGUUGGAGUCGUCUAGUAAUCGCAGAUCAGCAACGCUGCUGUGAGAUACGUUCCCGGGCCUUGUACACACCGCCCGUCAAGCUCACAGAAAGGUGGUGUACACCCGAAG